rnacentral:rRNA from 1 species
UACAGAGGGUGCAAACGUUGUUCGGAUUUACUGGGCGUAAAGCGCGUGUAGGCUGCUUCGCAAGUCGGAUGUGAAAGCCCUGGGCUCAACCCAGGAAGUGCAUUCGAAACUGCAGAGCUGGAGUCCUGGAGAGGAAGGCGGAAUUCUCGGUGUAGCGGUGAAAUGCGCAGAUAUCGGGAAGAACACCCGUGGCUAAGGCGGCUCUCUAGUACGGUACUGACGCUGAGACGCGAAAGCGUGGGGAGCGAACAGG